rnacentral:rRNA from 1 species
GUCUACGGUCAUACUACCCUGAAUGUGCCAGAUCUCAUCUGAUCUCAGAAGCUAAGCAAGGUUGGGCCUGGUUAGUACUUGGAUGGGAGAGUUUUGAGAUUUAGCUAAAUGGUUUAUA